ACAGCUCAAAUUUGAAAUCUGGCUCCUUCGGGGUCCGAGUUGUAAUUUGUAGAGGGUGUUUCGGGUGCGAUGCCGGUCUAAGUUCCUUGGAACAGGACGUCGUAGAGGGUGAGAAUCCCGUAUGCGACCGGCGAUCAAGCCCGUGCGAAGCCCCUUCGACGAGUCGAGUUGUUUGGGAAUGCAGCUCAAAAUGGGUGGUAAAUUUCAUCUAAAGCUAAAUACUGGCCAGAGACCGAUAGCGGACAAGUAGAGUGAUCGAAAGAUGAAAAGCACUUUGGAAAGAGAGUCAAACAGUACGUGAAAUUGUUGAAAGGGAAGCGCUUGCAAUCAGACCGGUCCGGAGGCGAUCAGCCGCUGCUCGUCAGCGGUGCACUCGCCUGCGAUCCGGCCAGCAUCGGUUUGGGCGGCGGGAUAAAAGUCCCGGGAAUGUAGCUUCCUCCGGGGAGUCUUAUAGCCCGGGUCGCAAUGCCGCCCGCCCGGACCGAGGACCGCGCUUCGGCUAGGAUGCUGGCGUAAUGGUUGCAAGCGACCCGUCUUGAAACACGGACCAAGGAGUCUAACAUCUAUGCGAGUGUUUGGGUGUCAAACCCAGGCGCGGAAUGAAAGUGAACGGAGGUGGGAACCCGUCAGACGGCGCACCAUCGACCGAUCCAGAUGUCUUCGGAUGGAUUUGAGUAUGAGCAUAGCUGUUGGGACCCGAAAGAUGGUGAACUAUGCCCGGAUAGGGUGAAGCCAGAGGAAACUCUGGUGGAGGCUCGCAGCGGUUCUGACGUGCAAAUCGAUCGUCAAAUCUAGGCAUAGGGGCGAAAGACCAAUCGAACCAUCUAGUAGCUGGUUCCUGUCGAAGUUUCCCUCAGGAUAGCAGUAACGUUUUCAGUUUUAUGAGGUAAAGCGAAUGAUUAGAGGCCUUGGGGCUGAAACAGCCUUAACCUAUUCUCAAACUUUAAAUAUGUAAGAAGUCCUUGUUACUUAGUUGAACGUGGACAUUUGAAUGCACCGUUACUAGUGGGCCAUUUUUGGUAAGCAGAACUGGCGAUGCGGGAUGAACCGAACGCGAGGUUAAGGUGCCGGAAUGCACGCUCAUCAGACACCACAAAAGUGUCAAUUCAUCCAGACAGCCGGACGGUGGCCAUGGAAGUCGGAAUCCGCUAAGGAGUGUGUAACAACUCACCGGCCGAAUGAAUUGGCC
rnacentral:rRNA from 1 species